CUUGGUCAUUUAGAGGAAGUAAAAGUCGUAACAAGGUCUCCGUUGGUGAACCAGCGGAGGGAUCAUUACCGAGUACUAUAACUCAUAACCCUUUGUGAACCUUUAUACCUGUUGCUUCGGCGGCGCGCCUCCCGGGGCGUGCCCGCCGGCAUUAUCAGAAUCUCUGUUCGAACCCGACGAUACAUCUGAGUGUUCUAAGCGAACUGUUAAAACUUUCAACAACGGAUCUCUUGGCUCCAGCAUCGAUGAAGAACGCAGCGAAACGCGAUAUGUAAUGUGAAUUGCAGAAUUCAGUGAAUCAUCGAAUCUUUGAACGCACAUGGCGCCUUCCAGUAUCCUGGGAGGCAUGCCUGUCCGAGCGUCGUUUCAACCCUCGAGCCCCCGUGGCCCGGCGUUGGGGAUCUGCCCAGGCAGUCCCCGAAAACCAGUGGCGGACCCGUUGGGCCCUUCCUUUGCGUAGUAACAUCUGCCUCGCAUCGGGAGCCUGCGGGCUAUCCGGCCUCUAAACCCCCCUCAAGCCCGCUCCGGCGGCACCAAGGUUGACCUCGGAUCAGGUAGGAAUACCCGCUGAACUUAAGCAUAUCAAUAAGCGGAGGAAAAGAAACCAACAGGGAUUGCCUCAGUAACGGCGAGUGAAGCGGCAACAGCUCAAAUUUGAAAUCUGGCUCCUUCGGGGCCCGAGUUGUAAUUUGCAGAGGAUGCUUCGGGUACGGGUUCCUUCCGAGUUCCCUGGAACGGGACGCCAUAGAGGGUGAGAGCCCCGUCUGGUAGGACACCCAGCCCGUGUGAAGCUCCCUCGACGAGUCGAGUUGUUUGGGAAU
rnacentral:sRNA from 1 species